AGUCGAGCGGUAACAGGAAUUAGCUUGCUAAUUUGCUGACGAGCGGCGGACGGGUGAGUAACGCGUAGGAAUCUGCCUGGUAGUGGGGGACAGCAUGUGGAAACGCAUGCUAAUACCGCAUACGCCCUACGGGGGAAAGGAGGGGAUCUUCGGACCUUUCGCUAUCAGAUGAGCCUGCGUGAGAUUAGCUAGUUGGUGGGGUAAAGGCUCACCAAGGCGACGAUCUCUAGCUGGUCUGAGAGGAUGAUCAGCCACACUGGGACUGAGACACGGCCCAGACUCCUACGGGAGGCAGCAGUGGGGAAUAUUGGACAAUGGGCGCAAGCCUGAUCCAGCCAUGCCGCGUGUGUGAAGAAGGCCUUCGGGUUGUAAAGCACUUUCAGAGGUGAGGAAGGGUGUGUAGUUAAUACCUACAUAUCUUGACGUUAGCCUCAGAAGAAGCACCGGCUAACUCUGUGCCAGCAGCCGCGGUAAUACAGAGGGUGCGAGCGUUAAUCGGAAUUACUGGGCGUAAAGC
rnacentral:rRNA from 1 species